rnacentral:rRNA from 1 species
GGGUUGUGAGGUUAAGCGACUAAGCGUACACGGUGGAUGCCCUGGCAGUCAGAGGCGAUGAAGGACGUGCUAAUCUGCGAUAAGCGUCGGUAAGGUGAUAUGAACCGUUAUAACCGGCGAUUUCCGAAUGGGGAAACCCAGUGUGUUUCGACACACUAUCAUUAACUGAAUCCAUAGGUUAAUGAGGCGAACCGGGGGAACUGAAACAUCUAAGUACCCCGAGGAAAAGAAAUCAACCGAGAUUCCCCCAGUAGCGGCGAGCGAACGGGGAGCAGCCCAGAGCCUGAAUCAGUAUGUGUGUUAGUGGAAGCGUCUGGAAAGGCGCGCGAUACAGGGUGACAGCCCCGUACACAAAAAUGCACAUGCUGUGAGCUCGAUGAGUAGGGCGGGACACGUGGUAUCCUGUCUGAAUAUGGGGGGACCAUCCUCCAAGGCUAAAUACUCCUGACUGACCGAUAGUGAACCAGUACCGUGAGGGAAAGGCGAAAAGAACCCCGGCGAGGGGAGUGAAAAAGAACCUGAAACCGUGUACGUACAAGCAGUGGGAGCACGCUUAGGCGUGUGACUGCGUACCUUUUGUAUAAUGGGUCAGCGACUUAUAUUCUGUAGCAAGGUUAACCGAAUAGGGGAGCCGAAGGGAAACCGAGUCUUAACUGGGCGUUAAGUUGCAGGGUAUAGACCCGAAACCCGGUGAUCUAGCCAUGGGCAGGUUGAAGGUUGGGUAACACUAACUGGAGGACCGAACCGACUAAUGUUGAAAAAUUAGCGGAUGACUUGUGGCUGGGGGUGAAAGGCCAAUCAAACCGGGAGAUAGCUGGUUCUCCCCGAAAGCUAUUUAGGUAGCGCCUCGUGAAUUCAUCUCCGGGGGUAGAGCACUGUUUCGGCAAGGGGGUCAUCCCGACUUACCAACCCGAUGCAAACUGCGAAUACCGGAGAAUGUUAUCACGGGAGACACACGGCGGGUGCUAACGUCCGUCGUGAAGAGGGAAACAACCCAGACCGCCAGCUAAGGUCCCAAAGUCAUGGUUAAGUGGGAAACGAUGUGGGAAGGCCCAGACAGCCAGGAUGUUGGCUUAGAAGCAGCCAUCAUUUAAAGAAAGCGUAAUAGCUCACUGGUCGAGUCGGCCUGCGCGGAAGAUGUAACGGGGCUAAACCAUGCACCGAAGCUGCGGCAGCGACACUAUGUGUUGUUGGGUAGGGGAGCGUUCUGUAAGCCUGUGAAGGUGUGCUGUGAGGCAUGCUGGAGGUAUCAGAAGUGCGAAUGCUGACAUAAGUAACGAUAAAGCGGGUGAAAAGCCCGCUCGCCGGAAGACCAAGGGUUCCUGUCCAACGUUAAUCGGGGCAGGGUGAGUCGACCCCUAAGGCGAGGCCGAAAGGCGUAGUCGAUGGGAAACAGGUUAAUAUUCCUGUACUUGGUGUUACUGCGAAGGGGGGACGGAGAAGGCUAUGUUGGCCGGGCGACGGUUGUCCCGGUUUAAGCGUGUAGGCUGGUUUUCCAGGCAAAUCCGGAAAAUCAAGGCUGAGGCGUGAUGACGAGGCACUACGGUGCUGAAGCAACAAAUGCCCUGCUUCCAGGAAAAGCCUCUAAGCAUCAGGUAACAUCAAAUCGUACCCCAAACCGACACAGGUGGUCAGGUAGAGAAUACCAAGGCGCUUGAGAGAACUCGGGUGAAGGAACUAGGCAAAAUGGUGCCGUAACUUCGGGAGAAGGCACGCUGAUAUGUAGGUGAAGUCCCUCGCGGAUGGAGCUGAAAUCAGUCGAAGAUACCAGCUGGCUGCAACUGUUUAUUAAAAACACAGCACUGUGCAAACACGAAAGUGGACGUAUACGGUGUGACGCCUGCCCGGUGCCGGAAGGUUAAUUGAUGGGGUUAGCGCAAGCGAAGCUCUUGAUCGAAGCCCCGGUAAACGGCGGCCGUAACUAUAACGGUCCUAAGGUAGCGAAAUUCCUUGUCGGGUAAGUUCCGACCUGCACGAAUGGCGUAAUGAUGGCCAGGCUGUCUCCACCCGAGACUCAGUGAAAUUGAACUCGCUGUGAAGAUGCAGUGUACCCGCGGCAAGACGGAAAGACCCCGUGAACCUUUACUAUAGCUUGACACUGAACAUUGAGCCUUGAUGUGUAGGAUAGGUGGGAGGCUUAGAAGUGUGGACGCCAGUCUGCAUGGAGCCGACCUUGAAAUACCACCCUUUAAUGUUUGAUGUUCUAACGUUGACCCGUAAUCCGGGUUGCGGACAGUGUCUGGUGGGUAGUUUGACUGGGGCGGUCUCCUCCUAAAGAGUAACGGAGGAGCACGAAGGUUGGCUAAUCCUGGUCGGACAUCAGGAGGUUAGUGCAAUGGCAUAAGCCAGCUUGACUGCGAGCGUGACGGCGCGAGCAGGUGCGAAAGCAGGUCAUAGUGAUCCGGUGGUUCUGAAUGGAAGGGCCAUCGCUCAACGGAUAAAAGGUACUCCGGGGAUAACAGGCUGAUACCGCCCAAGAGUUCAUAUCGACGGCGGUGUUUGGCACCUCGAUGUCGGCUCAUCACAUCCUGGGGCUGAAGUAGGUCCCAAGGGUAUGGCUGUUCGCCAUUUAAAGUGGUACGCGAGCUGGGUUUAGAACGUCGUGAGACAGUUCGGUCCCUAUCUGCCGUGGGCGCUGGAGAACUGAGGGGGGCUGCUCCUAGUACGAGAGGACCGGAGUGGACGCAUCACUGGUGUUCGGGUUGUCAUGCCAAUGGCACUGCCCGGUAGCUAAAUGCGGAAGAGAUAAGUGCUGAAAGCAUCUAAGCACGAAACUUGCCCCGAGAUGAGUUCUCCCUGACCCUUUAAGGGUCCUGAAGGAACGUUGAAGACGACGACGUUGAUAGGCCGGGUGUGUAAGCGCAGCGAUGCGUUGAGCUAACCGGUACUAAUGAACCGUGAGGCUUAACCUUACAACGCCGAAGCUGUU